GACGAACGCUGGCGGCGUGCUUAACACAUGCAAGUCGAACGAAGUGGCGAACGGGUGAGUAACGCGUAAUCAACCUGCACUUCCGAGGGGGAUAACAGUUGGCAACGACUGCUACUACCUCAUACUGACGGAGGGGGUUGCGUCUGAUUCGUUAGUUGGCGGGGUAACGGCCUACCAUGGAGAUGAUCAGUAGCCGGUCGGAGAGGAUGAACGGCCACAUUGGGACUGAGACACGGCCCAGACCCCUACGGGAGGCAGCAGGUGGGAAUCUUCCGCAAUUGACGAAAGUCUGACGGAGCAACGCCGGGUGAGUGAUGACGGCCUUCGGGUUGUAAAGCUCUGUUAAUCGGGACGCGGUACCGGAAUAGAAAGCCACGGCUAACUCCGUGCCAGCCGCCGCGGUAAUAC
rnacentral:rRNA from 1 species